AUUUCCACAGCCUUUGAAAUGAAAGAAUCAAAUAGAUAAGACUCAAAACUAAAUUUUGGUACAUACUUGCAUCUUUAGGCUCUUCUUCUUGUCUCUCUUCGAUUUCUAGAGCUCCAUGAGCGUCAAAAUCGCUUUGUAUUCCUCAAUUUCAAACUUGUUUAAUAAAUAUGUUGCAAACUUUGGCAUAGAAAUACCUUUUGACAUUUAUCUAUCUUCGAACGAAGAAAAAUGCCUCGGCUCCUCCAGCUCUUUCAUAUCAUUCCUCACUGAGAGAUGAGCAUCAUCUCAUUAUGUCUCUUGUGAUGUGUUGACAUGUGAAAUUUUGGAAGAGAGACAUGCUCCCCACCUCGUUUCGCAUUUAAAUUCUGUCGAUCAGUGGUAGGAAAAUGGGAUUUCAGUCAAAUCGUGAUCUGCAAGAGAGACUGGCCUAUAGGCCCACCCUUGUGGAUCGCUGGCAAUGCCAGCUUGUAGGGCGAUGAAACUGAGAAUCCGCAAGAAAAAGAAAUUUGGAGAGGUUAGGGAAAACAAAGGAGGUUUUAGAAGAUGUUUUUAAAAUAGAGUGAAUACAAGAAAAUAAAAAUGAAAAUGAAAGUUUGUGAGCCUACCCAGAAUGAAGUCGGGCCCACAGACUCAGCACUUGGAGUUGGCAGCCUGGAUCAGAGUCGUCGAUGAGACAGGACUGUUCCCGUGGUCUGUUGGAGAGCUGAGCUAGAGACACUCACUGUUGGAUUUGGAUCAUAGUUGAAGAUUGGUAGUUCGAGAAGAUAUGGACUGUCAUGGUCUGCAGUGCUUAAGGUCGUUCUUAUGUUAUGAUUUUGGAGGUUUUAAAUUUUGUGUGGGCUUGAGAGGAGUGGAUUAAGGUUACUGUAGGUGCAGGAAGGCCGAAAGGCUAGUGACAGGUCUAAGUUGAAGAUAGGGUUUCUAAG
rnacentral:lncRNA from 1 species